UACGUAGGUGGCAAGCGAUACUCGGAAUCACUAGGCGUAAAGCGCAGGUAGGCGGUUUGGUAAGUCUUUUGUGAAAGCUCCCGGCUUAACUGGGAGAGGUCAAAGGAAACUACUAGACUAGAGUGUGGUAGGGGAUACUGGAAUUCCUGGUGUAGCGGUGAAAUGCGUAGAUAUCAGGAGGAACACCGGUGGUGUAGACGGCUUUCUGGACCGUAACUGACGCUGAGACACGAAAGCGUGGGUAGCAAACAGG
rnacentral:rRNA from 1 species